GAAAAGCCAUGGCCACCAAGUCUGUCACAUCAACGUAACCUGAGGUCGCUCCUCCUGGGGUGAGCUUACAUUUCUGAUGAAAUAGCCAACGUUACUGCCUACAGAGACUGGCUUAUUUAUCAUAGACAAAUGUUAUCAUUUCAAUAUCCAAAGAUGCCUUCUCUGAAAUAUCAGCGUUUCCCUGUACUGAGGCAUCCUUCCACUGUGGUAUAUCCAGGCCUUUGCUGUGCUUACAAGUUUCCAGGGAUGCCGUUCGGCUUUUGUGUUAUGUUGCUGUGAAAUCUGUCUGAGACUAAAGAAAGUAAAUGUCAACAGACACUGAAUACCUAUUGCUACGGUGCUGAUGGCAACUAACUUGAACAGUCGCUCUGAGUUUACUCAGAACCCACAUCACAGGUUUUAAAUAUAUAA